CGCAUUAAUGGUGGAGUAAGCCGGAGAUCCGCAUUUAUUAUGGAGUAAGCCGGAGAUCCGCAUUAAUGGUGGAGUAAGCCGGAGAUCCGCAUUAAUGGUGGAGUAAGCCGGAGAUCCGCAUUAAUGGUGGAGUAAGCCGGAGAUCCGCAUUUAUUGUUGAGUGUGCCGGAAGAUUACAGCGACCACGCGCAAUAAAUGCCGGAGGGGUGUUAGAGUAC
rnacentral:lncRNA from 1 species